rnacentral:rRNA from 1 species
AGGUCAMUGCUAUCGGGGUUAGANUAAGCCAUGCGAGUCGAGAGGGUUCGGCCCUCGGCGUACUGCUCAGUAACACGUGGAUAACCUGCCCUAAGGAAGGGGAUAACCCCGGGAAACUGGGAAUAAUACCCUAUAGGUUACAGAUGCUGGAAUGCUGUAACUCAAAAAGUUCAGGCGCCUUAGGAUGGAUCUGCGGCCGAUUAGGUUGUUGUUGGGGUAACGGCCCAACAAGCCAGUAAUCGGUACGGGUUGUGGGAGCAAGAGCCCGGAGUUGGAUUCUGAGACACGAAUCCAGGCCCUACGGGGCGCAGCAGGCGCGAAAACUUUACAAUGCGGGCAACCGUGAUAAGGGAACCUCGAGUGCCUGUAUAUGCAGGCUGUCCAGGUGUCUAAAACACACCUGAAGAAAGGGCCGGGCAAGACCGGUGCCAGCCGCCGCGGUAAUACCGGCGGCUCGAGUGGUGGCCACUUUUAUUGGGCUUAAAGCGUUCGUAGCUGGGUUGUUAAGUCUCUUGGGAAAUCCGGCGGCUCAACCGGGGCGUCUAAGAGAUACUGGCGUUGUCUUGGAACCGGGAGAGGUGAGGGGUACUUCGGGGGUAGGAGUGAAAUCCUGUAAUCCUCGAGGGACCACCUGUGGCGAAGGCGCCUCACCAGAACGGCUUCGACAGUGAGGGACGAAAGCUGGGGGAGCAAACCGGAUUAGAUACCCGGGUAGUCCCAGCCGUAAACGAUGUGCGUUAGGUGUAUCGACGACCACGAGUCGUCGAGGUGCCGAAGGGAAACCGUGAAACGUACCGCCUGGGAAGUACGGUCGCAAGGCUGAAACUUAAAGGAAUUGGCGGGGGAGCACCACAACAGGUGGAGCCUGCGGUAAUUGGACUCAACGCCGGGAAUCUCACCGGAUAAGACCCAGCGGAAUGAUUGCCGGGCUGAAGACUCUGCAUGACUAGCUGAGAGGAGGUGCAUGGCCGUCGUCAGUUCGUACUGUGAAGCAUCCUGUUAAGUCAGGCCGAGCGAGACCCACGCCAACAGUUGCCAGCAUGAUCUCCUCGGAUUGAUGGGGACACUGUUGGGACCGUCUGCUAUC